GGUUGUGGCUCAGUGAUAGAGCACUCGCCUAGCAUGCGUGAGGCGCUGGGUUUGAUCCCUGGCACCA
rnacentral:tRNA from 1 species